CUCUGACUUCACAUUCGCUUUGUUGGAGUGCAUGUUACUAGUAAUAGUCUUUGGAUGUAAGGGUUUUUGUAGGACUCAGAAAGGGAAGGUAUUACUUGGUGUGCUAUGGACUAACCAGCCUUUCCCAGGGAAGAAUGGUUCAACUAAAGAACACACAGUGCAAUUUAUUUUUUUUACCAUUUGCAAAUACAAGUAAACAGAGGUAAUGCACCCUGGAAGGAGGAAGAAGGAAGGCUUCUCA